GACGAACCGUCCAAACGUUAUUCGGAAUCACUGGGCUUAAAGGGUGCGUAGGCUGUCCGGUAAGUUGGGUGUGAAAGCCCUCGGCUCAACCGAGGAAUUGCGCCCAAAACUGUUGGGCUCGAGGGAGAUAGAGGUGAGCGGAACUAAGGGUGGAGUGGUGAAAUGCAUUGAUAUCCUUAGGAACACCAGUAGCGAAAGCGGCUCACUGGGUCUCUUCUGACGCUGAGGCACGAAAGCUAGGGGAGCGAACGGG
rnacentral:rRNA from 1 species